CAAAUUUCAAAUUACCACGAUCGUCUAAAAAUGACGAAAAAUUACCACGGUACUGAUAAAUGAAAUUACUAGCCCGCGUGCAGGCCCUGCAAGCUGUGAAAUUACCACAUCUGCUCACACUGUGAAGAAACUAUGGUUUCUCGUUGGCUAAUUGAUUCAAGCAGCUCAGCACUAAGCUCACAACAUCCGCAGACGUUGAGAUUUUUUCCUCGCGAGAUGAAAAAUAUCAAACACGAUAGAUGGGGCAUAGAUAUUUUCCUCAAGGCCUCGAGAGGUCAAUUCCUCACGAAAACUAUCCGCACAUGAGAGAAACUUGCUGAGCCAGCUGCCGCGGCAGGCUUUAUGCAGUUUGCCGUGAAUCAUCAGAGCCAGAGGUGAAUCAUAUGGUUAUAGAAUUGUAAUGAUGUAAUCAAUGCCUUUUUCAAAAUAAUCAAUACGUUUUUGCAAAACUCUUGUAAUCUGUGAAUUUUCGUCGCCAAAUGGAAACAAAGAAGCCAGAUUCGAAUUAUUUGGCCGAAGAGGCCAACUUACCAGGUUAGCACUAUUUUCAAUCCAGGGCAUUUUUUAAGAAACUGCAACUACUGGGGCCAAGUCUUAAUGAGGGCCUUUUCCCCGCACAGGGGGCGGCGCUAGCCCUAUUUGAAUGGGGGGGGGGCGUGUAAGUGACAUUUUGCAUUUGCCAGCGACUCAUUUCAAACGCUAAUUUAUAUAUCUUUUCCCAAAAUUGUUGGCGAGUGGGGGGAGAGGAGAAG